rnacentral:lncRNA from 1 species
UGUCAAGAAAGUCUCAAGUGUUGAGAUCAAAAGAAGAAGAUCAAGUGUUGAUCUAAGAUUGAGAAAGGCUAUCAAGAAGGACGAUCUAAGGUUGAUCUCAAUGGAUAUCUACAAAGAUCGAGCAUGUGCAUGGCUCAAUAGUGAAUCUUUUUUAGAUCCAUAUUUUUUCAAAUUGCGGUGUUCAUCUACCCACACAAGGUG